ensembl:lncRNA
CAGAAACUGAAUUUCAAUCAAUUAUAUUUGAAUUUGAAUUGCUAAACUUGAAUAAUUGAAUUGAAAAACUGAAUUUGAAUAACAUAAUUUGAAAUUGUAUUGUUUAAUUUGAAUCAUUGCAUUGAAAAACUGAAUCUGAAUUGUAUCAUUUGAAAAUGAAUUUAUUCAAAAACUGAAUCUGAAUUGUAUCAUUUGAAAUUGAAUUUAUUCAUUUGGAACUGAAGUCCAAUAAAAUUUGAUCCUCACUGAAAAAUUAAACUCUCUAUAUAUCUUCACAUUCACUUCUCACAAUUUAGAUUCAGUUCUCAAAUUCAAUUUCAAGUUACUGAGACAGACAUCCUGGUAGUUGGAGGAUGAAAGAAGAGCAAUCGAGCACAGAUCGAUAGAUAGCGUUCAUUGGUGCACAGGAUUCCUCUUGGGCCAAUCAGCACCUACUUUUUGGAGCAUAGUACGUACCCGUCAUGAAACAAGGAAGAAGUGCUUGCCUUGCUGACUGGCUUGACCACCAUGGAUUCGGCUGGGACAAAUACACAGACAGGAAAGGAGUCAGGAAAGAGGGAGAGAUGGCCGACCCAGUGUCCACACAGAAAUGACAAGGUCUUUUCCUGCCCUUUUUGGAGCCAGUGGAAAGCGCUGGCGUGUUCAAGGGCCUUCCAACCACUUCACACCAGUCAAAGAGAUAGAAGUUACAUUUUAUCUCUUACCCAAGAUUGUUGAGCACACUCCCAAAGGCAGUGAAGAAGUUUUCCAUCUGCAAGCUGGUUUGGGACGCAGGUCCACGCUGAUACCAGGGAACUACACCCAUGAUGAGGUGAGGCAACAUUUUUUUUGUCAUAUAAUAUUUUAAUAUAGUCCACUAUCAAAACCAAUGUUCUUUUGUCAAUAUGAUGGUAUGAUUUAUAUUACUCUUGAAGGUAUGUUCAACUCUCAAAGAUCUUUGUCCAAAACUUGAAAGUGUGUCUGGGGGCUGGCUGAUUUACAAAGGAGCAGGUACCUAGAACUUACCCAUGGAAAAUCUAAUCUUGGUAUAAAAUCAUUUGAAUCAAUAUCUUGAGUGAUGAGCUUUCUGUAGAUAUAUUUAUCAUGUAUGUGAGACGCCACAAUUUUAAGUUAAUUCAUAAUCAAGAAAAAUUUCAAGUGAUCAAGAGGGCGCCUCCCUGUCCUGCAUGCGCAUUAAUAAUUUUCGCACAAACACUUGAAUAUGAAUAAUAAUUCACAUUUUGCAUAUGCAUUACAACGUAAAUUAUUUUUUACAUGCAAUUAUCCAAAAUAAAACCAAACAAGAUUUGUAAUGAAGAUAAAACAAAUAAGAAUAAAUGCUGCGCGUGCACUCAGCAUGACUCGCGCCGCGCAAAUCUUGCACGCAGACAAAUUUACACACCUGCAUUUAAAUGCGGCUGCAAUUUUAUUUUUUUACUUAAAUUAUAUGAAAGCAAGUAAAGAAGGCUCCCUUUAAAAUUACUGAAGUUGUCAAUUAAUGAAGCUCUUAUUUACAUUGUGUGUAUUUUGUUGAUUAUAAUGAGAGAACUUGAGUUUAAACAUGAGAACGUUUUAUUAAUCCGUCCAUUCUUUAGACUUUCAAUGAUUUAGCUAAAUUGUGCAGGUUUAAUUUAUUCGUUUCUUGUUUUAAUUAGGCCUAAAUAAUGGGAACGAAAUUAUACAGUGCCUCACGUUUUACUAAAAUAAAGAAAAUAAUUUAUAAAACACGCAACAAUUUCUUAAUCAGUCUACAGACAAAUAUAUUUUCCCAAGAAGUUGUCUGUCAAAAUAAAGGACAGGUAACGAAUAACAAAAAUGCAUGUUGUUUUAUUAAAGGAAUUUUAAAAUAUAAAUUAAAAUAUAGGCCUAAUAUAUGAGAAUAUUGACAUUUUGCAAAUAAAUCCAUGUAGCCAAGCUCACUAAAAUAGGCUACCACUUUUAAUGCUACGAUGCAAAGUAAACCACAAUUUAUUUUGAAUAAUAUAACACAUAAUUCAUAUUAUAUAAAUAAUACUGCACACCUAUUAAAUGUGUUAAAUCUAAAAUAUGGUGUAAUACUGUGUAGCUUAGAGAAAAUAUAAGCACAGGCACAGGCUUGACAUUUAUCCUGCUUGAAUUCGUUCUAAGAAAUGCACAUAACUUCAUAAGUACCAAACUUUCAUCUGUGAAUAUUAAAUAUUUUAACUAUAGUGUUUUUUUUUUUCAUUUUCCCUGACUGCAGCCGUCAAAUGUAACACAUCAGCGAGGCAAAUCUGUCGUCUAUUUGCGAAAAUGUGCUUUGAUGCGCUUGUUUGAAAACUUG